rnacentral:lncRNA from 1 species
GAAACAAAAUGAGGAUCAAACUUGUUGAGAAACUUCAAAGCAAGAACAGCUUCCUGAAUGCUUUGGAAUAAGGAGGCCGGGACAGGGUUUCCCACCUCAGACUCGGGUCCCUGGGCCAGUGACAUGUGGUUGACUUGAGGGGCCGCCAAGGAUGGAGGCCGAGGAGCCUGGGGACAGAGCUGACCACGACUCAGGGCGGCCGGUCCUUGCACCGGAUGGGAACGGGAGCCCGCUGCUGCCUCAUGAAAACCCUCUGCCCCCACAGAUCAUCUCCGCAGCCGGGAGCUGGGCGGUGGCGAGCCAGGAGGGUGAGGUGGCUUCUCCUCCCCUGAGCCGCAGGGAGAGGAUUCCUCUGGCCCCCCCGCUGGACACGCCGGGGCUGGAGGAGGGGGCCGCCGGUGCCUUUGAGGGCGGAGACCUCUCCUCGGCGGAAACACCUGUCCGAAACCUGGCUGGGCCGGAGAGAGAACAGGAGCCUGACCGUCCCCCACAGGAGUCCGAGGAUUCGGGACCCAGCCAUCCUGGGCUCCUCACCCCCUCGGAUGGAACCCAGGCCACAGGGGUGGAGUCAGAUGGUGAGACUCUGCAGGCCCCUGGCCCUGGGCAAUCGGUCGAUAGCCGGCGGCAUGGUCGGGUGAGCGGGACCGUGUCUCCGUCAUCCUCUUCCACGCUGUCCCCGUCCAGCACGGAUGAAAUGUGCAUAGGAGACCGAAGCUGUGACACACAGAGUCCCGAGUCACUGUGGCUGGACCCGUCGGCGCUGGACACCCCCGGGGCGCUGGACGCUGCCUCCCCCAGUCCCUGUGACGUUGACCUGCAGCCUGCCGGGGUUCCCGCCGCCUUGGUUCGUGACGAUCCUCGCUCGUAUCCGCAGAGUAGCAGCAGUGAUGGCGACGGGGUCAUCGGACCGGCCGGUGUGGGAUUAGAGACUGUGGGGGUCGGCCCCCAGGUUUCAGGAGGAGAAGAUCUCCCGGCUGGACCGUCCACACCGGAGCCGCCCGGCGACUUGUUGGCUGAUCAAAAGACCAGUGUCCUGGGACGGGGGACGCCGGGCCCCCCUGCAGCAGCCCAGUGCUCGUCCAGAAGCAGACCUGGUCACUCGGGCAUUGAGCGCCCUCUGCCUGUGGCGUCCGGGGACGGUCCACGCCAGCCAGAACCUCGGCCUCAGGACAAGGGGGAUGUCACCAGAGAAAUUCCGGCAGUGCCCGGGAAACCCACCCCCAAGGGGAGCAGAUCGGCCCCGGGGUCCGCGGGCCUGACCUCGCUGGAGCUCCGGGGUGAGCUCACGUACAUAGUUCUGAGCCCCGGUCCCGGAGCCUGCACCUCCACACCCAUCCCGGGAACCCAGGUCAAGUUUCCAUCUGCGGCGUUGGACAAGCUCCUGGUCAGCUCGUGCCAGGAGGGAAAAGCGGGCGCAGGGGCACGGGGUGGAAAGGGCUUGUUGGCCAAAAAUCUGGGGCCCCCGACGGGGUCGGCGGCCGGGAAGCUGAACCCCAGACCCGGUACCCCAGCUGGGGGCCGCUUGCGGAAAGCCCAGAUCGUCAGCUUCCCGAGGCCCAACUUCCAGAACGUCCGACCGAAGGUGAUCUCACGGCUGGUGCCCAGCGAUCGGGUGCCGGUCCGAUCCCCGCAGGUGUCCGCUUCCCCGCGGCUGCCAGCCGCCGGUCCCAGACCGCCGUGCUCCGUGCGACCGGGAGCUACGGUCCCCGCCCUCGCCGGUAAGGCCGGCAAGCAGCCGCCGCUCAGCCGGCCGAGCCCGGGCCCCGCCGGACAGGGAGCUGCCCGCUUCAGAAAUGCCGGCUCCCAGGCCCCCUGGGUGGCACCGGGGACCAGGCCUUCCGGCCCCCAGGGGCUGGCCGUGCCCGCUGCCGCGGGGGUCCACCGGAGGCCCCGGCCUCCCCUGGACAGUCAGAGGGAGAGUACUAGGGUUCUGGGGGAGACAUUCAGCCCGAGCAGCGAACCCCAUGGGAGCCGAGGGCCGGAGCCGACGAGGGAGAAGCUGGACGAGACCUACGACCGGGCACCUCUGGACUGGGUCUCUGGAGGUGCCGCCAAGACCCCGUUGGGCCACAGCCCCCCUUCCCAGACCAGCCCUCUGAGUUGUGGCGAGGUUCCGGUCCUCCCAGCCGCCGGCGGGAACUCCUCACUCUCUCCACACCAGAACGGCAAUGGCAGAAACGUCCGUCCCAACCCAGCCACGUCUCCUCCAAGGGAACAGCCUCCCACUGCCUCCAGUGAGUUCCGCAACCGCUGGGUGCUGAAUGGGUCAGGGGAUCAGGGAGGUGGAGCAGGGUAACUCGAUGGGGAGGAUACAUGGGGGAGAGCUGAUUGAGCACCUUAAAGUGAUGGUCAGGAGUUGAUUUGAUAUGGAGAUGAAUGGGCAACGCUUGGAAGUUUUUUUGAGGAACAGGGAGUCGGGCACAGAAUUGUUUUAGAAAAAUGAUUCAGGCGAUAGAAUGAGGACUGGAUUGGAGAGGGGAGGGGCUGGAGGCGGGGAGGUGAGCAGAAAGGCUGAUGCAGUGGUUGAGGUGGGUUAUACUGCUUGGACCAAUAUGGUGUCAGUUUAAUUGGAGAGGAAAGGGCAGAUUCAGAUGUUGUGGAGCAAGAACUGCCAGGAUUUGGUGGCUUUGGGAGAAGGAUGAGUCAAGAAGAAGGCCAAAGUUGUGAGUCUUUGACGGGGAGGUUGGUGGUGUUUGUCAACAAUGAUGGGAUAGUCUUGGGGAGGAAAAGUUUUGGGUGGGAAGAGGAAAUGUUCUGUUUGGAUGUGGUACAUUUAAGUGGACCAGUCCACCAACUCUUAGUACAGUGCUCUGCACCCAGGAAAUGCUCAAAUACAAUGGAUUGAUCGAUUAAGAUGUCAGUAGGACAUCCAAGUAUAGAUGUCCUGAAAGCAGGAGGGAAUGGGAGAAUGCAGAGAAGGAGAGAGGUCUGGACUAGAGAAGUAGAUUUGGGAAUCAUCCACAUACAAAUGGUAGUUGAGGCUGUAGGAGCCAAUGAGUUUUCUAAGGGAAUGGGUGAAGAUGGAGAAAAGAAGGGGACCCAGAACCAUGCCUCGAGGGACUCCCACAGUUAAUCUUAUUUACUGAGCAUUAACUGUGUACAUGGUACUAUACUGAGUGCUUGGGAGAGUAUAACAUAACAGAGUCAGUAGUCACGUUCCCUGCCCAUAAUGAUCUUAGAGUUAGAGUGUGGGAGGCAGAGGAGGAGCCCAUGAAAGAGACUGAGAAUGAGCGGCGAGAGAAUUAGGAAGAAAACCAGGAACCAGGAGAGGGCAGCGUCAGUGAAGCCGAGGUGAGAUAAUGCUUCCAAGAGAUGGGGGUGGUCCGCAGUGUGGAAGGCAGCCGAGAGGUUGAGGAGGAUUGAACUGAGCCGAAGCGGACUCCUCUCUGUGGAGUGGCAGCCCGUCUCCACCCUGCGUUCAACUCCCCAAGUCCAGCUCUCCCCUGUUAGCCCCUCAGGCUGCAAGUGGGCACCUCGUGCAGGGCCCUGGGGGUUCCAGCCAGGGACGCUCACUAUCAGCAGCGAGUCCGCGGCCCCCACCCCGUGUCCCGGCCCCGGGCCGCCCGAGACCGCGGUCGUGCUCCCUGACCCCCGCCCGCGUCUCCGGUCCUGCCGCUCUUGUUCCUGCCCCAGAGGAUCGACCCCGGGCCGGCGGGACUCUCAGGUUUGGCCUUCCUCGCAGGCAUGGGACGGACGUGACGUGACUGUCUGCGUUGUGUGCGUUUGGGCUGGACUUCGGGGUUGGGAGUGCGUGAGUCCACACCAGAGCCCGUAUGGCCACUGUCCCGAGUUAGCAACGGGGACUGGCGUGCAGCCCGUCCUGGGGCCUCCGUCUCACCCCUGAAGCCUUCCCGUGAUCCUCA